CUGGAGUGCAGUGGCGCCAUCUCACCUCACUGCAACCUCUGUCUCCCAGGUUCAAGUGUUUCUCCUGUCUCAGCCUCCCGAGUAGCUGGAAUUACAGGUGUGUGCCACCACGCCCGGCUAAUUUUUGUAUUUUUAGUAGAGACGGGGUUUCUCCAUGUUGGCCAGGCUGGUCUGGAACUCCUGACCUCAGGUGACCUGCCCUCCUUGGUGUCCCAAAGUGCUGGGAUUACAGGCAUGAGCCACUGUACCCGGCUGCACUCUCUCCAUCUUUAGGUCAGGCUUCUUUGAUCCUCUGAUCUUAAAUGAGCUUCCAAAGAGGGUGCGGCCAGCAGGGAAGAUGUGGCUGCCUGGGGAUUGGUUGGGUGGAGAAGAUGGAAGCAAGUAAGUGAUAUAGUAUGGUUGUUCACUCAUCAUCUUUAAACAAGCAGGGAAGGUUGCUGGGGGAGGGGACAUUUAACUGAGACCCUGAAGGACAGAUCAGAUUUGGACCAAAAGAGGCAGGAGAGAGACUCCUAAGUGGAAGGAACAGCUUGUACAAGAACAUGGAGGUGCGUGGAGGUGGGAGAGGUGCCACCUGUGUUAGGACAGUAGGCAUUCCAGUUUGUUUUGCGUUUUAGAGAUGUAUAAGAGAAAGGGACAGGUAGGCGCAAACAGAAGGCAAAAGGACCAGAAGGUUUCCUUUAGUGACAGGGAAGAAACACAGGAUCAAGCAGCAGGAAAGCAGGCUUUGGUUCCUGCUCUUAAGCUGUGAGCCCAGGAGUCACUCUUGCUUCUUACCUCUUCCUGAACCACCAUGUUCCAAUUUUGUUGAUUCUGCCCCUGAGAUAUAUAUAUAUAUAUAUAUCCUUUAUAUAUAUAUAUAUAGUCUAGUGACAUUGAUAUGCCCCUGAUAUGCCCCUGAGAUAUAUAUAUAUAUCCUUUAUAUAUAUAUAUCCUUUAUAUAUAUAUAUUCUUUAUAUAUAUAUAUAUAAAGUCUAGUGACAUUGCUCCAUUUCUCCUGUUAUUAAUCUAGUCCAUGCACUCAUGAUUUCUACCUGGUCUUUACAAUACUUUCUGACAGUAUAGCCAGUCUGCACUGAGAUGGGGAGUAAAAUGUAACAGUCCAGCACAUGGAACUCUGGAGAGCUAAUCUGCCUGGAUUGGAAUUCUUAAACUCCAGCUCUGACACCCAAUAGCUAUGUGUCCUUGGGCAAGUGACUUAACUUCUCUGUGCUCAGGUACCUUCUCUGUAAAACAGGGAGAAAUAAGAGCACCUACCUCUUGAAGUUGUGAGGAUUAAAUGAGCCUUGAGCCAAACAUGUGAAGUGCAUGGAACAAUGCCUGGUGUACAGUAAAAACUGUCUAAGUAUUAGUCAUCAUUAUUAUUGUCAUCUGUCUCUCCACAUCCAGUUUUCCCCUUCCUGAAAAUGGUUUAUAUAUAUUUUACAAGCUUUAUUUUGAAAUAAUUUUGGAUUUGCAAUAGAGUUGUGAAAAUGGUACAGAGUUUUCAUAUGCCCUUCAUUCAUCUUCCCUGAAUGUUAACAUCUUAUAGAACCAUGGUACAUCUAUCAAAACUAAGAAAUUAGUGUUAGUAUAAUACUAUUAACUGAACUACAGAAUUUAUUCAGAUUUCCCCAGGUUUUUUCCCACUAAUGUCUAUUUUUUGUUCCACAAUUUAAUCCAGGAUACAACAUUACAUUUAGUAGUGGAUUAUUUUCAAAUGCAGAUGGUCAAGUUGCAAUGCCCAGGAACAAUUUCUUGGCCUGCCAGACUCUUAGACCAGUGUCAAGUCCUCAACAAGGCCUAAGGGGCCCAUGCCUGCUUCUGCAGCCUCAUCUCACCCUGCUCUGAGGCUUCAAGGAGGAGCCACUGGGAUUUCCAAUCAUCCCCUGCUAUAGACUUUGCAUACUUGGGACCACUUUCGUGAUGGUUUAUAGUGCCUGAUUCACUCCCCAUUAGACUGUCAGCUCCUCCAGGGCAGGGAUCAUGUUGCUGUUGUUCUCUGCUAUAUCUCUGGCACCUAGAACAUGCCUGGUACCUGAUAGGCUUGUAAUGAAAAUGUGUUGAUUAACUCACAUCCUGUGCCACUUUCUGCCAAUCACUUCCCCUCUCUGGACCUCAGUUUUCUCAUCUGCAGACUGAGGAGUUUAAUUUGUUCACUGGUUUUCCAGUUGUGUUUUGGAAACCCUAGAAUUUCCUGGGCUCAACAGGAGCCACAUUUAAAGAGCAUGUGUUUUCAUGUGCUUGAAAAUUGGGCUUUUGAGAAAGAUAUCUCUUAAUGGAUUUUGAAGAUUCUGCUGCUUAAAAAGGUUUGAAAACGUGACAGAUUAUUGUAUAUUAUGAAUUACAUAUAGUUGCAUGAUUUUACAACUCCAUUAUUUAUUUAUUUAUUUUUGCAGGCAGUGGGGAGCCAUGGAAAGUUUCUGAACAGAGAAGCACUUAUUGGGAACUGUCAGAGCUAUGCUUCAGGAGAUGAAUCUGGCAACAACGUGGGUUAAUAUUAAUGCCCUGUACAUCCUGAGUACAUGUUUCCAGAAAGAGGUGAUCCAGGAGGCUGCCAAGUGGCCUGCAGGUGACAUCCAGAGGGCAGAAAAUGCCCAUGCAGGUCCACGUGUGGGUCCUUAAGCCCCUUGAGGAAAAGGGAGGAGAAAAGGACAAAGAAGGCUCUCCCUUUCCCUUGGAUCCCCUUCUACUCCCACAUGCCUAGUGGGAGCCUCCCUCUUCUGCUUGAGCCUUCAGGACAGGUUCAGGACCCUGUCUCCUACCUGGCUGGGCCAGAAAUGAGGAACAUGUUGCAAGCCUUCCUCCACCUGACUUGCCAAGUCCAUACAGGCUGGGGCCUUAGAUCCAACAACUUAGAAAGGGUGCCCACACUCCUGUUCUUUAGAAGAAAGGGACGGCAGGAGUCUGAUCAUCUGUCCGAUGCCCACACAGUGGCUGUGCUGAGUGACGUGUUGUUUUGAGGAUGUCCCUACCCCCUGGUCUUGCCGUCGGUCUCCAGUACCCAGCGAAGCAAGCUGUGGGCUCUGAGGAGCUCACACCAGGGAGGAGCUGCCCUGGAGUGGAGCAACAGCAUGUCCUCUCCCCUGUGUGACUGCAGUGCUAUAAUAAUAAUAACAGAAAGCUGGCAUUUCUUGAGCUCUUACUGUGUGCCAGAGACACCGCUCUAAGUGCUUACACAUAUGUAUUCGUUUUCUGUAGUUGCUGUAACAAAUUAUCACAAACUUUAAACAUUGAACUUAUGGCAUAAAG
rnacentral:lncRNA from 1 species